UCUCCCAUUGCCACAUUUUCUCCUAGUAUUAGAUUUCAGUGUCUGUGCUUAUGGGGUAGAUUAAAAUUGCCAUGAUCUGAAGAAGGAAGAUUAAUUGUGUCCUCUUCCUAUAUGAAAUGGCUGAACAGGAAAAA